GGAGAGAUGGCAGAGUGGUCGAAUGCGGUCGCCUUGAAAGCGAUUGAGGUGCAAGCCUCCGGGGGUUCGAAUCCCUCUCUCUCCGCCA
rnacentral:tRNA from 1 species